rnacentral:rRNA from 1 species
UACGUAGGGGGCAAGCGUUGUCCGGAAUCAUUGGGCGUAAAGAGCGUGUAGGCGGUCCGGUAAGUCGGCUGUGAAAGUCCAGGGCUCAACCCUGGGAUGCCGGUCGAUACUGCCGGGCUAGAGUCCGGAAGAGGCGAGUGGAAUUCCUGGUGUAGCGGUGGAAUGCGCAGAUAUCAGGAGGAACACCAAUAGCGAAGGCAGCUCGCUGGGACGGUACUGACGCUGAGGUGCGAAAGCGUGGGGAGCAAACAGG